UACGUAGGUGGCAAGCGUUGUCCGGAAUUAUUGGGCGUAAAGCGCGCGCAGGCGGUCCUUUAAGUCUGAUGUGAAAGCCCACGGCUCAACCGUGGAGGGUCAUUGGAAACUGGGGGGACUUGAGUACAGAAGAGAAGAGUGGAAUUCCACGUGUAGCGGUGAAAUGCGUAGAGAUGUGGAGGAACACCAGUGGCGAAGGCGACUCUUGGUCUGUAACUGACGCUGAGGCGCGAAAAGGCGUGGGGAGCAAACAGGA
rnacentral:rRNA from 1 species